UACGUAGGUGGCAAGCGUUAUCCGGAAUUAUUGGGCGUAAAGCGCGCGCAGGUGGUUUCUUAAGUCUGAUGUGAAAGCCCACGGCUCAACCGUGGAGGGUCAUUGGAAACUGGGAGACUUGAGUGCAGAAGAGGAAAGAGGAAUUCCAUGUGUAGCGGUGAAAUGCGUAGAGAUAUGGAGGAACACCAGUGGCGAAGGCGGUUCUCUGGGACGGUACUGACGCUGAGACGCGAAAGCGUGGGGAGCGAACAGG
rnacentral:rRNA from 1 species